AGCUCUGAGGUGUUUUACACGCCGGAUUGCAAAUCCGGAGUAGUCGAGUAGUAUCGACCGGGGCUU
rnacentral:tRNA from 1 species